rnacentral:rRNA from 1 species
GUCGAACGGAGGAGGAGCUUGCUAUCGAGUGGCGAACGGGUGAGUAACGCGUGAGGACCUGCCUCAAAGAGGGGGACAACAGUUGGAAACGACUGCUAAUACCGCAUAAGUCGGCAUCGAAAAAGGAGCAACGCUUUGAGAUGGCCUCGCGUCCGAUUAGCUAGUUGGUGAGGUAAUGGCCCACCAAGGCGACGAUCGGUAGCCGGACUGAGAGGUUGAACGGCCACAUUGGGACUGAGACACGGCCCAGACUCCUACGGGAGGCAGCAGUGGGGAAUAUUGCACAAUGGGGGAAACCCUGAUGCAGCGACGCCGCGUGAGCGAAGAAGUAUUUCGGUAUGUAAAGCUCUAUCAGCAGGGAAGAUAAUGACGGUACCUGACUAAGAAGCCCCGGCUAACUACGUGCCAGCAGCCGCGGUAAUACGUAGGGGGCAAGCGUUAUCCGGAUUUACUGGGUGUAAAGGGAGCGUAGACGGCAAGGCAAGUCUGAUGUGAAAACCCAGGGCUUAACCCUGGGACUGCAUUGGAAACUGUCUGGCUCGAGUGCCGGAGAGGUAAGCGGAAUUCCUAGUGUAGCGGUGAAAUGCGUAGAUAUUAGGAAGAACACCAGUGGCGAAGGCGGCUUACUGGACGGUAACUGACGUUGAGGCUCG